GUGCCAGCCGCCGCGGUAAUACGUAGGUCCCAAGCGUUGUCCGGAUUUAUUGGGCGUAAAGCGAGCGCAGGUGGUUUCUUAAGUCUGAUGUAAAAGGCAGUGGCUCAACCAUUGUGUGCAUUGGAAACUGGGAGACUUGAGUGCAGGAGAGGAGAGUGGAAUUCCAUGUGUAGCGGUGAAAUGCGUAGAUAUAUGGAGGAACACCGGAGGCGAAAGCGGCUCUCUGGCCUGUAACUGACACUGAGGCUCGAAAGCGUGGGGAGCAAACAGGAUUAGAUAACCCUGGUAGUCCACGCCGUAAACGAUGAGUGCUAGCUGUAGGGAGCUAUAAGUUCUCUGUAGCGCAGCUAACGCAUUAAGCACUCCGCCUGGGGAGUACGACCGCAAGGUUGAAACUCAAAGGAAUUGACGGGGCCGCACAAGCGGUGGAGCAGUGUGGUUAAUUCGAAGCAACGCGAAGAACCUUACCAGGUCUUGACAUACUCGUGCUAUCCUUAGAGAUAGGAG
rnacentral:rRNA from 1 species